rnacentral:tRNA from 1 species
CACUAAGAAGCUAAACCAGGGAAACAGCGUUAGCCUUUUAAGCUAAAGAUUGGUGACUCCCAACCACCCUUAGUGA